ensembl:lncRNA
UGAUCAAUAGUUACUGGAGAGCUGGAGUUUAGCUGACAGAUAUCAAGCAUCACUAUUGAUCUGGAUUGGAAUAUGAUGGAUUUGGGAGCAGAGCAACGUCUACUCCACUUUUACCCUCGUGAAAGCGGGAUUGGUGAUCUUACAAAACGGGUUUGAGAAUACGAUCAAACACAAUAUGUCAUGUUUGUAAAAUAAAAUCCUUUGCAAUAGAGUAAGAAUCUCUGUUAUUUAAAUAAAAAACUGUUACGGCUGCAUUUUCUCAGCGGUUGAUGAUGAUGAUGGGACGGAACAUGUGACAGCAAACCUUGUAGAAGAUUCUUUUUUCUAACCAAAAUGUGGCACUUUUGUAUUUGUAAUUAAUCAAGAUCCAUCUGGCUGGCCUUGACAUACCAUCUGAGUGGACAAAACAUGAGAUGACUGAUGUUGAAACUACCCUUGAACAAAACCUUGGUCUCAAACAUCCUAACAAAUAACAGCUCAGCCAAGGAUUCAGGCCUUUUACCAACACAGUAUUUUACACACACACACACACACACACACACACACACACACACACACGAGCAUACAGAAAUUGACUUAUGUCCACAUAAAACUCAAAAGCAGUUUAAUACAAUGUUGUGGUUGCAGAGUUUUGUUCAUUUGAAGAAAAACAUUCAAGUUUCGAAGGACACUAAAGAGAAACCCAGCAGUUGUGAAAGCCACACACACACACACACACACACACGAACACAAACACACACACACACACACACACCCCUAAUCUGCUACCCUGAGGAGCCUCCCGUUUUCCAGGAGGGGCCUUGCACCUGCUGGGGAAGAAGCCGAGGAGGCCCAGGAGAGGAGGGACCUGUUGUUCCAACUUAUCACUUUAGUUAAACACACGGAUUGCCAGGAUGAAAACAUGGACGCACCUCGGUCUCGGCUCCAUUAUCAGGCGGCGCCCCAAAGCCUCGAAUGCUCCCACUUCACCUCGUCUACACCACCUUCACGUCCUUGACGGUUUUUACCCUCAAGGCCUCCUCCCGAGACUCGACUCAGACAAAAACAAGCGCUCCCCUUCCUUCCAACAGUUGGAUAUUUUAGUGAAUACGUGGACUUGUUUCCCGCCCGAGAGUCGGAUGAGAGGGGAUCCAUGUCGCCAUCAAUUAAAUAACAAGCUAUAGUCAUCGACUCAAAAUAAAGGAAAGCUGCUGUUCAGACCAGUGUGAUGCCUUAAAAUGACUUGUUUUGUCUAAACAAAAGUUAAACAUUUCUAACUUUGGAUAAUACAAAGCGUAGACAAGCGGCAAACCGUAGCAUCUGAGAAGCUGGAGCCACUGACACUGCUGUUGCAGUUUAGCUUGAAAUCAAUAACUGUUCAUCAAUAAUGAAAAUAUUGUUACGUGCCGGAUUGUUUUUUGCCCUAGAGCAGAAAACUUCCUGCAGUUUCUGGUGUAAAAAUUGCAAAUGAUUUAGUAAAGACUAACAAAUAAGAUGAAGUGCCUUUAUUAGUGAGCUUGUCCCUUUAUCGAUGCUAAGCUAAAUGAACUUGCUCCAGUUACAGGUAUCCAACUCUUGGCAAUAAUAAAAAACCAUACAUGUGACUAUUCCUUUAAAGUCGAGCAAGACGUGGACAAGCCUUUCUUUUCUUCUCCUCGACACUAAGCUACAAAAGCCUCCUGUUGUAGCAGCAACAGCCGGCCGGGCUCUCCGGUUCUGCCCGCUGGGAGGCCCAGAAUCCCCGGAAAGGUGAAUAAGCAAAGAUCCAAGAAAUUAAAUCUCUCAGCAGCAGCAGCAGCGCUACCUGGAACCUCACACAUCAAAGGGCUGAGCAGAAGCCGGCAAGGGACUCUUUCAGCGCCGCGCUGGCCGACGAAUAAGGCCCCCCCCGCACUGACCCCCCCGGGACGGUUCAUGUUGACACUCGGCUGCGAGUGACAACAACAACAACAGUGGGCAGCAGAUGACGACACACAUGCAAACACACACACACUGUUUUGGUGGUCGGUUAAUCUGUGAUCUGCUUCCUGGUGGAUUUUCUCAGAAAUCAACCAGGGGCCUCAACUGCUGUCACAGCCGCAGCACACAACGCCGCCGUACGGAGAGCGAGCCUCACCAGACGGAGGAAGAGCCAGAGAGCCAACACAACCACACGGAGACUCGCAGAAACAGUUUCCCACGCACACACACACACACACACACACACACACACACACACACAGGGAGACGGGUUCCCGAAGAGGGAAACCGUAACGGUGAAAUGGAAACAAAGUGAAACUUCCACAGCACCUGUGUAGACAAGAGAGAUUGAGAGAUUGAGAAAGAGCAGCAGUGCCUUGUGAACUCUAGUUGAGGUUAACUGCAUUUAAGUUGGUUUGGUUUACUGACAACUUACAACAUUUUUUUGCGUGGGAUUAAACAGUCAAAUUUGACUUAUUUCCAUCCAUGGCUGACCUAAGUAAUUAUAAACCAAAACCUGGAAAAUGUAACCAUAAAAGCAAUUUUCCAAUAAAAGGAAAUCAAGGAGUUUAUUGACUAAAGGAGAUUUAACUUGUAAUUGUAUAAAUUCUCAGCAAUUCCAAACUACUUUAAUGCGCCUGAGCGAAAAGCCGGAGGCAGAUCGGUUCUGUUUUCCAUGAAUCGGAGUAUGUGUGUCUGAGAUAGUGAGUCACAGUGUAGGCUUAAUAAGUGCAGCCUUUUAUGCUCCCAUUAGGUCAUUAACAUUACAGCUCAUUCUGAACUUUGGCAAGGAGAAGAAAAAAAAUCCCUCUUUAGCCUUGUGCUCCCUGAAGAAAGUACAUGGAAAAAAAAAAAGAGAAUGAAAGGAAAAUCUCCUUCAUCUCUGUAGGCAACCCAAAUCCUCACUGUGGCUGCAGCCAAAAACCAAAUUAAAAAGACUGGAGUGUUGGUGUUUAGCAGCCGCAGUGCAGCUGAGAGGGGAUGGAAGUUCUCUCAUGCGUAACAAUUUAUCAAACCAAUUUAAAACGGGCUCACAGACACACACACACACACGCCCCAAUAUUAUUAGUGGUCCGACAAAUUCUAAUUGUGUUCCUUCCUACUCCUAAAUUAUGCUUUUAUUCAACCAAUAGACUUCUGGCAGUUUUUGGGAUCCCGGGUUGAGAAAAAAUGCCUUUGUUUAUUGCUCUUCAUCCGUUGUGUUCUUAGCCAUGACUUGUAAAGUAAAAGCACUGCAUUCCCAAUUGUAGUACUGUCAGGGUUGUAUAACCAAUUAUUUACAAUGAAUUACGUGUGGACAGUUUUAACUUUGUACGGCAGGUGAUGCUUAAAUCAUAUAAGCUAAUCAUAUAUUUUCAUGAAUCUUAUUGUUAAAGUCACAAGUACCUAUUUGAAGUUUGAAUAAAGGCUCUUAUUUCACAAGAGCACUGAAUAACUUGGGUUCAUUUGACAAUUAUAGACAAUCCGGCACUAUUUCCAGGGUGUUCCUGUGGGAAAAGAGUGCAGGAAGGAACCCAUUCAGGUUCCUGGGGUCAGAGGUUAAAGCCAUUAUUGGGCUCCACAGAUCUACAGGCAUUUGCUGAUUAUAAGAGCGCGUACUUAACACGUCCCAGACGCUGGAACCCAGAAGAAAGUCGGUUUCAGCGAAUGGGGAUACGAGAACCGCAACGAUCACGAGAAGGCAAACCGCUGAUGAAGUCAUGCACCGAGAGCCAAUCGCACAGCCGGAGACCAGCAGAGGCCUGAGAAUGGAGGCGCAAGCGGCUGUAAAUCAACCGAGGGACGAUGAUCCUCCGCUGUGACACGACCUCAUUUGGUCUCCUGGUGGCCUGCAUGCCUCCGCUUCCAGCAGGCAAAAUACCCCCUCCAGGGAUCCUAAAAUACAUGGCAGGGUGUGAGGAGGGGGCAGCAGCACCCGGGGGUGGGGGGGGGCUGCGAGUCUGGACAAGCUAGUCAGCGCCACGGGCCUGAGACGACAGUCAGACAGACGACAACAGCAGCAGGAAUGUUAACUCUCCCCCGGGUUUCUUUGGGUGCGCCCGUUCCCAUGAAAA